AGAUAUAUAAUACUCUAGAUUGCGCCUUACGAUCUUAAAAUGGGUGACGGUUGCGACAGAGAUAAAUGAGCCUAUUUGGUCGGUAGUCUCUUUCUAAUUCAAGGGGAGUAUCGACGACGUCACUAUCCUACUCUGUCGUCGAAUAUUUUAGAUGGUUUGACAGUUCGAGCGGAUGGCGACGAGAACUGGUCGUUUGUCUUCGGACGUGGAUAAUCCUGGUUCGAAUCCCAUACCAAUCUUUACUUUUUUUUAUUUUUUAUUUAAUCAAUAUUGCGUUUAUUAGAUAUUAUUACAUCUCUAAAGUAAAUCUAUGGAAAGAAAUAUAUAACAAAUAAGAAAAACUGUGUAGGUACCUAUAGAUUUUUAAAAAUAUAAAAGCCAAUGUUAUUUUUUUAAUAAGUUAAUUGUAGAAUAGUAUAAAGUAAUUGUUAAAAAUAUUCGUAAAAAAUUACCAAUAAUUAAUAUCAACAUAAUGUACCAUCGAUUUAUUAAUUGAAUCGGUCAUUUCAAAAACAACAUGAGUCACAUAUAUUCCUAAUUUUACAGAAGAGCAAAGAAAACUAACUAUAUAGUCGAAAGAUGGAUGAAAUGGAUGACAUCAAAAUUCAAAGUUAUAUUGUAGUUUUGUUCCUAAUGUUUUUACUGGACUAGUGUCGUUUUUGCACACAACGUUUAUCUUAAAGGAGUCUAUUCCUCUCAAAAAGUUAGUUUCUGAAAAUUGUGGACUUUGCUGUUUUUGAAAUGACCGAUUCAAUUAUAAGUAAUUAGACAUUAUUUUUAUUUAUGAAAACAUUGUUACAAUUUUUUAAAAAGUAGAAGCAAAACAAACAUUCACAUCAUUCGAAUAAGGACGAAUUUAUAUCUAUUAAUAACGAAUGACUUUUAUUUUACUAUGCAGUUCACAAAUGAUGUAUUCCAAUAUUAACUUACUAUACAUGGAUACAUUUAUUAUCUGCUAGAUUUACUUAGGUCCAUUUUUCAGAUGUAAAAAUAUCUAAUAAACGCAAUAUUGAUUAAAUAAAAAUAAAAAAAGUAAAGUUGGUAUGGGAUUCGAACCACGAUUAUCCACGUCCGAAGACCAAAGACCAUUUACCGUCACCACCCGCUCCAACUGUCAACGCAUAUUACUCGAUAAAGUGGGAUAUUCACGUCGUCGAUAUUCCCCUUAAAUUAAAAAGAGACUACCGACCAAAUAGGCUCAUUUAUCUCUGUCGCAACCGUCACCCAUUUUAAGAUCGCAGGGCGCAAUCUAGAGUAUUAUAUAUCUAUGGGUAAUAGGUAUUUAGUCCAUUCCGAAGUUGUAGUUUGUUUUGACAUUUCCGUUUUAUUUAACCUAACCUAUGUUUUGUGUUUUAUUGUGUUGUUUACAAGGAGUUGUAUAUUGAAAUUGAAUUGAUUCUUGUUUCAUUGAAUAUAGAGGAGUUGUUCUGUUGCAAGUUGUUCUAGUUUUGUUGUUUUAAAAUCUGCGAAAAACUAUUUAUAGAUAAUGGUGAACUUAAACAAGAAAUGGACAUGCAGUUUGCUGAUUACUUAAUUGUGUACUCACAACACAUAGGAUUUCUCUGACACAGUUUCCAGUACAGAACUGCCACAGGAAUCUCCAGUGGAGUUGCAACCGCUCUCACGGACGUCCACAAAUCAAGUUACAAAACUGUUACAUGACUCUAUUGGAGUUGCAACCGCAAUUGGAUAAAAGUGAAAUUCGAAUAAUGCCAGAAAGACUAUAACCGUCCAAAGUGAUAGUGUGAAAUUAAAAUCAAAUGAUUACGUAUAAAUCAUAUUUAUAAUAAUUAUAAAUAGUAGCUGUAUUUUUUAAAUAAACAGAUUUGAUAAGUUA